rnacentral:lncRNA from 1 species
UUUGAUUUAGGGUUAGGAUUUGGUUAGGAUUUGAUUUAAGAUUAGGAUUUGAUUUAAGGUUUAGAAUUUGGUUUAGGAUUUAAGAUUUAGUUAGGAUUUGAUUUAAGAUUUAAGAUUUGAUUAGGAUUUGUUUUAGGAUUAGGAUUUGGUUAGGAUUUGAUUUAAGAUUUAGGAUUUGGUUUAGGAUUUAAGGUUUGGUUAGGAUUUGGCUUAAGAUUUAGGAUUUGAUUAGGAUUUGAUUUAGGAUUAGGAUUUGGUUAGGAGUUGAUUUAGAGUUUAGGAUUUGGUCAGGAUUUGAUUUAGGAUUUAGGAUUUUAUUUGAUUUUGUUUAAGAUUUAAGAUUUAAUUAGUUUUUGGCCUAAAGUUUGAAUGAAGUCCAAUAGGAUUUCAACUAGGAUUAAAUUAAGAUUGAAUUGAGAUGUAUUUGAGAUAUAUUUGUAAUUAUUCUAAUAUUUCUUUAAGAUUUCUUAUUGUUUCUUUGUAAUUCCUUUGAAGUUUUUUUAAAUUUGAUUAAAUCUUAUUUAGAAUUGUUAGUGUUCUAUUAAAGUUAGGAUUUUGUUGUUGCAAUUUCCAUUCUACCUUCCACAGCUAAGUGCCUGGAGCAUUCUCAAGCAAGACUUCAUAUAUUAUGACAACACCCACAAAUGGCUAUAAACACUAUCACAAGAUCUGUACAAUGUGACAUAGGUACAAUACUUCUUUACUGCUGUAUUGCAAUUAAAGAGAGAGAGAGAGAGAGAGAGAGAGAAAAAAAAAAAAAAAAAAAAUUGUCACCAUUGAUAGUUCAAAUUAUACAUUGCAAAAGCUCAUUGUACUCUAUCACACAAACAUUGAUGAAGAGUCAUUUUGUGAACUAGACCUUUCUUUGCUAGAGGAAAUUUUACAUAAGUACUAAUAACUUCCACCACCUCUCUAAGAAUGAGGCUUAGUAAUCAUCGAUCACAAAAAAAUAAGAAUAAAACUCAUUAUCGAUGCAAGCUUGAUUACAUCAUAUAACUGUCUCUAGUUCAAAUAUCCACACACAAAAGGAAUUAAAGAAUCCAAUGACAAAAUUCAUAUUCUAUACAAAUUUGUAGAAAAAACAUUGACCAAAAGCAGAAGUUGUUGUACCUCCACUCGAAUUGGAAUAACGAACUACCAAAAUUACAAAUAGAAGACUUCACAUACCAAUUCCAUUAAAAAUAAGUAAAUCAAAUCCAAAAAAACCAUAAGAAAAAACUGCUCUAAGCAUAGCUUAUUAAAAAUGUGGAGCUACCAUAUACAAGAAAAAAAAAAUAAGAAAAAAAGAAGUUUGAAGCGUUGUCAUGGACAUGCAUAUUUAUUCCAAUAAUUACCUAUAUGAUUAAAUAGAAGCAGGUAAAAGUAGAUUAAUUUCAUAAUAACUUUUAAAAAAGCUUCUUAGAAGCUUAAUAGAUGUGUUUUUGAUUUUAUAUGUAUUUGUAGUUAUUUGAUAUGUUAAAAACUUGGUCAAUAAGUUAAUCACAUAUCACAUAUAUUGAUAGCUUAUAGAAUAAUCUUACUAUGUGGUGUACAUAUAUAAAGCUUGUCUUGCAAGUUAAGAUAUGUAUUUUGCAAAGUCUACACAUAUUGGAGAUCUUAUAGAACAUUGGUAUAUAGCUCUUAGUUAGAUAGUAUAUAUGGAGGCUAGAGUGAAGCCUUCUUUAUUCUUGUCAAUACCUUUCUAGUCAUUAGUAUUGUUUUAAGACUUUUUAGUCUUCUUGUCUUUGGCAAUAGCCAUUCUAGUUUAAUAUUAUACCAUCUUUGAGUGAUUUUUUAGUCUUUUCAAGUGAUACAAGCAUGUAUUAGUCUUUAAGUUCUUUGAGACUCAUAUCCUUAACAGCUUGACAAGAGUGUUAACUUAUUGUUCUUACUUUUUUAAAAAGUGAGUGAAUUAUCUCACUUCUAUUAUUACAUUUUGAAGGUUAUGGAUUAAUUAAUUUUAAACAAAUAGAUUAAAUUUUUAAUAUUUAUUUUUUCCUUAAAGAAAGUAGAUUAUACCUUUUUGUAGAAAUUUUUAUUUGAUAUUAGAGAUUGUGGAUUAUCUUUCUCUCAUUUAAUUUUUUGAAUUUGUUUGAAUCGUCUAUGAAAGAAAAGAUUAUGGAUGCUACCAUCAAAAAAAAAUAAGAAUAAAUUUACAACUAUUACAAAUCUUCAUGAACUUUUCAACAUUCUAAAAGUAAAAAUUUCAUAUAUUUUCAAUGUGAAUCAUGGAAGUACUAUUUCUAUCCCUAUAGAAGAAUUCAACAAUUAAGUUCAAAGUCUAUGCUAAAAAAUUACAUAAUUGAGAAAAGCAAGUAGAUCAAAUUUAUAAUUAAAUCCAAAAAGUCUUACUACUAUAAGCAUAAAGGAGGUAAGGAUAAGUAUGCUUUAAAAUUUUGAUGGAAUAAGAUCAAAUUUUCAAGGAUUUCUACAACAAAUAAAGUUCUAUCUAAGGUUGUAUCCUUCUCAAUAUCUUGAAGGAUUUACUUAAGUUGGAUUUAUAGGGAUAAUUCUUUUUAAAAUUAAUCUCUCUUAAUUUGUACCUUUCAUAGAAAAAGAUUCAUGACUACUCUAUAACUUAAAUUUAUUUUUAAAAGUUUUUAUAGCUAUAUUUGAAAAAAAUGAUGGAAAAAAAGUUGCAAAGACUAAGCUCAUAUUUCUACAACAAGGAUCAUAUUUAAUCACCACAUAUGUUAUUGAAUUCCAAAAUCUUAUUUGCAAUGUGGAUUGGAAUGACAAAUCUCUUAUCAACUGUUUGUUCUUGAUAGACAGCCAAAUCUCUAUCAACAAAGAUGAUGCCAAAAGUUAGGAAUAGCUUCUUGUCCUUGUAAUCAUUUUUUUUCUACUUUUAUUUUUUACUUUUUAUUUUAUUUUUUAAUAUUUUUUUUCUUUCAUUUUUAUUUUUUAUUUAUUUUUUAUCUAUUAAUUUUUUUUCUUCUUUUUAAUUCUCUCUUCUUUUGAUUUUGCUAUUCAAUCACUCUAUUUUUUUUAUUUAUAAAAACUAAUAAUGAUUGAUUUUUUUAUUUUUUAUUUGAUUUUAUUUUUCUCAUCUUUUCAUGGAUUUUUUUGAACUUUAGAUUCUUUUUUAUUGUCUAUUUAAAAAAAAUAUAUGAUAAUAAAUUGUUUUUAUUAAUUAUAAUCUAAUAUUAGCUAAAUUAAAAAUAAAAAAGUCUUUUCACCUUAGAAGUCCAUAUCAAGAACUUCUUCCAUCUAUUUUGAUAUGCACUAAUAUUUCCAGGUUUUUUUUUUUUUUUUUUUUUUUUUUUCUAUUUGUCUAAGAAUUCCUCUAGUAACUCAUAAAAAAUUGUGAUUAAAAGCACAAUAAGUUUCCUUUCUUUAUAAUAGAUGUUUUUUUAGGACCAAAAUAUUACAAAGUCUUUGCUGUAUUAAAUUAAAUUUAAGAGCUUCAAUUUAUAUAAUAAAUAAAGGUUUUUUAAAAAAAUAUGAAAUAUUUUUGAAAAAAAAAACUAAGCCUAUACAUGUAGAAUUCAUAGAUGGUUGUUUUUUUUUCUUUUAGAGAUAUUAUCUAUGAAACUAUUUUUUUAAGAUAGUUGCUAAGAUCUUAAUAACAUCAUAAUAUCUUAGUAAUAUUUAAUGAUAUUAUAAUUCUUUCUAUUCUAGUCAUUUUAGAUUUAUUGUGGCUAAAGAAGUGUAAUCCUCAAAUAGGCUUGAUUUCUUAUAGUUAUAAUUUUUUUCAUAAUUUUAUUUAGACUUUUAAUAUCCAAGUAAAAAACUAUUAGUCUAAUACAUCCUUAUUAAUAAGUGCAAGAGCUUUUAUAUAUGUUGCAAAAGAAGUAUUAAUUUAUUUUUAUUCAUUAUGAACCCAAAUUUCACCAUUCAAUGAAAUUGAUGCUAUACAACAAGUUCAAGAGGUGGAAUGGAAGAACUCUCAAUUAAGUAAUUGCUAAGUUAAUUUAGAUCUUCGUGUUUGGAGUAUAAUUAACUUUAAGCCUUCCAAGCAAUGGUUAUUAAUAUUAAUAAAAAAAUAUUUAAUAAAAUUUACUAUCAUCUUCAAUGCUAUUUGCAUGAUUUCCAUUUAAAUCUCAAUGGUUUGUUCAAGUUCAUUUAUAUAGUCAUUAAUUAUUAAUUUUUAUGUAAUUUAAAAAUUAGAAUAAAUUAGAAUAAAUAAAUAAUUAAUUAGGUAAAACUUAUAAAUUAUCACUUCUUAAAUAAUUGAUGGUAAAAAUAAUUGAUUAAGUUAUUACCAUUGAUCCAUAGUAAAAAUAAAAAUCUUAAAGAUUAAAUUAAAAAUAAAAAUAAAAAUGAAAAUAAAAGGAUUAAAAUUUAAAAAUUAAAAAUUAAAAUCUAAAAGUUGAAAUAUAGAAGUUACAAAUUAUUAUAAAAAUAAAAGUAAAAGUGAGACUAAAGAGAGACAAAAGCGAAGGUAUCUUGAUAACACCCAAGAAUUGAGGGCAACAAAUCCUUUCUCUUCCAAAAUUUGCCAACAAUCGUGAUUAGAUCCAAAUUGAAUGACUUUUAGUUUUUUGCAAAAUUAACUUGAAGUACCUAAGUGCAAGAAAUGCUCCUUCAAAGUUGAGUGACCAAGACUGCCACUCCAAGCAACCUCUUUCUACUUGAAAAUUAACCAAAAAUUCAAUUUGUCUUUAAAUUUAGUAAAAUUUAUGCCAAUAGAAGCUCAGCUUAGAGGUGCAUUUAAUUCUAAAAUUUCACAAUAAUUCAAUUAGGAAGCACUGAGAAAUGCCUUUUCAAAGAUGAAAGCUCUAAACUGCUAAGGCAGCCAAUCUCCGCGCAUUCAAAAUUUCACCAAAAUUUCACCCUUAUUCCAAAUCAAGCAAACCUUACUUUAUUAGAAAGCUAACACUAAAAUCUACAACUAAAAAAUAUUUUACAUUGAAAAUCAAAAAAUUGAAUGAUUGAUUUAGGAAAAUUCGAGGCUCCUGAAUCCCUUAGAAUAUUUGAGAGGCCAAGGGAGCUGUCUAUCACAAUGAAGUAUGUUUAAAAAUCCAGUGACCAUCAUUUAUUACUCAAAAUCCAUGCAAAUACAACCAAAAUUUUAAAAAAUGAGAUUAAAAAUCAAAAAUAAAAUUGAGAAUAAAGUUUAGGACCAAAAUUUGGCAUAACUUAGGCUUUUAUUAAAAGAGGAGAGAGAGAGGGCUUGGGGAACCAAGCCACUCUUAUACAAUUAAAUGGUGGCUUGUGGGAAGGUGGCCACAUCUCCACCCUUGAUCUCUAAGAUCUCUAAUGUAGAUCUAUGGCCUUCAUUCAUCUGAGAGCUAAUUUUGUUACCAAGGCUUAUGGCUAUUGUAAGUAGUCAAGAAAGUACUUUUUGAUAAAUCUAACUUCACUAUUAUAUUUUAAAAAAACUUUGUAUGCUAAGAUCGACUAUUCACAUGCCUCAAUCCAUGUUCAAUUGCAAUUUUUAUGAAAGUUUUUACCUACAAGGAUCUUAGCAAUUCUUGUAAAAUUCUUCAAAAUGAGAAUUUCAUUGCUUUAUAUAUAUUUUGAAGGAGAGGAAGGUGAUCUUUUUUUCUUCACUCUACAAGGUGAAUUCGAUGCUACCAUUGCAUUAAAAAGGCUUCUAUUAAUUAGAAGAAUUAUUAUGCAAUUUAAAUUUGUUGAAUUUUGAAGAAAUCUCAAAACUGUUAGUUUUAAACUUCACUAGAUUUUUUAAAAAAUUAUAAUUCUAACUCACUCUAAAUCAUAUGAGAUGAUUGUAGGUGAACUCAUAGGCUCGUAGUCAAUCCUAAUUGUAAUGACUAACAACCUUUAAAUUAUUAAAACUAACUAAGUUGCUAUUUUAGUUUUCUAAUUCUUAUCACUUUGGUCCUAAUUAAUCUAAUUCAAGGAAUUAGGCUAUGAUUUAUACCAUCAAAGGUUGUAAUCCUAAAAAUUCUAUAAAAUUAAAUUUUAAUUGUAUAAAUUUUAAUCUAACAUGCUCAAUUAUCAUAAAAUAAAGAAAUAAUAAAAAUUUAAAUUUUGAAGUAUAAUUGAAAGCUCACAUUCAUGCCAUAUUUAUUUUUAAUGGUGUAAAGAUAUUAAGUAAUAUUUAAAGUUAGUAUAAAGAUUAUCAAGUAAUUCACAUAUUGUUUUAAAAUAUUAUCUUAAUAAUUACUAAAUUGAUCUUUAAGAAUAAAUUCAAUUGCCAUUUGGACAAAUCUAUAGCUUAUUGCAAAAUGAUUUGAUUGCAAUCAAGGAAUAUAUUAAUAAAAAUCUUAUCAAUAACUUCAUAUGCUAUUUAAAAUCUUUGAUAGGAAUUUAUAUCUUGUUUGUAAAGAAAAAUAAUGAAUCAUUGCAGAUGUGUAUAGAAUAUUGAAGGCUCUACAAGAUUAUCAUAAAAAAUAGAUAUAUUCUAUUUUUAAUAUCAUAACUUUUUGAUCAAUUGAAUCAAACAAAGAUCUAUAUAAAAUUAGAUAUAUAAAGGAUAUAUAACUUGAUAUGCAUUAAAAAAGAGAUGAAUAAAAGAUUGAAUUUUAAAUCAAAUAUGAACAUUUCAAAUAAAAUGUCAUGCCUUUUGGACUAGCAAAUGUACUAGUUAUUUUUUAACAUUUAAUAAAUAAAUUUUUUUGAGAAUUUUUAGAUUAUUUUAUCAUUUAUUAUCUAAAUAAUAUUUUAAUCUAUUCUAAGAAUAUAGAAGAGUAUAAACUUCAUAUUUUUUUGUAUUAUAAAAACUUAGAGAUACAAGAUUAUAUACAAAGAAGAAAAAGUUUAUAUUUUAUACAAUUUAAGUUGAUAUCUUGUCAAGGACAUAUAUCUUAAAGAAUUAAAAGAUUAAUAUAUUUUGGUAUAAAUCAAAAAGGCCAAAAAAUCACUCAAAGAUGGUAUGAUAUUAAACUUGAAUGGCUAUUGCCAAAGAUAAGAAGACUAAAUUUUUUUGAAAUAAGACUAAAUAUUAAAGCGGCAUUGACAAGAUUAAAUAAGGCUUCAUUCUUAUCUCCAUAUAUACUAUCUAAUUAAAAGCUAUAUGGCAAAAUUUUAUAAGUAUUAAUUGAGACCACACUGGAGUUUGGAACCACUUUAGGGUGGCCUAUUUGAAGCAAAGAAGACCAUUUGAGGCAAGAAAAUCCAUUUGAAGUUUAGAAGUUGGAUUCAAAAAGCUUGUAUUUUGGAUUAGAAGUUAAAGAAAAGAAAUAUGUGAUUUGGAAUUGUAAUGAGGGAGAUAUGGUUGUUUGAAGUUAAGGUGUGAAUUUGAUACCUAUUAUUAUUCUUUUAAGCAUAAAAGAGUUAUAAGAAAGUAUUUAAGAAUUAAAAAUAAGGUUAAAAAGCUGAAUUGAAGAACUAAAUUUUAUAUAAAGAAAUAAAUGCAUUCCAAUCUAGAACAAAGAAGAAAGAAUUGUUAAAAAUUGAGAUUUUUAAAUAAGUGAUUUUUAUGGAGGUUUUGAUUUGGACCAUAUCUUGAGUUUUUGGAUGAAUUUUUAGCUCAAAAUUUCUAUAAGUAUAAAUGAAUAUAUUUAAAAGUUGUAUAUAAAAAAAUUAUGGUAUUUGAGUAUUGGAUUUUUGAGAUAUGAUGGAAUUAAUAUAUAUAUGCCUAAAAAUUGAUAUAUUUAGUACUUGCUAGCAAUUAGACAAUAUCCAAAGACUUGUAAUGAAUUUAUGGUUGAUUUUUUAUAUAGAACUAAUUAAAGAUAUAAGUUAACAUGUGAAUUUUUUUAAUUCCAAUUGGACAAUUAGAUUAGAAGUUAUUGAGUGAUACAUAUAUAAAAGGCAUUUCUAUAUGAAUAGAAGUGAUUUUAGGAUUUUUAGUCACAUCUAAGGAACUCUUGUGCAUCUUAGACUUGUGUAUUUGAUGUAAUUAACUUUUUAAAGAUAAGUUAUAAGUAUUAUUUAUAUUUUAUAAAUUUAUAACUUGUUUGAGUAAUUAAUAGCAGCUAAAAGCCCAGCACUUAUUUAAAAUAAAUUCUCUCUAUCAAGACACAAAGUCUUCAAGUUAUUAUCAAAUUAAUCUAUUCUUAUCUAUUUAUAAUAAAUAAAUAACUAUUGGAAUAAAUAUUUAUGUUCAAGAAAUUAUCUCAUUUUUGAGGGAUAAGUUUCACAAGGGCAAUUGUAUUUAUUACAUUCUUUGAUGUUUCCUUUGAAGGUAGUUUAUAUGUUCUUUCAGCUUUCAAUAAUAUUCUAUUUCAAGGAAAAAACCAUCUUGUUAUUUGAUUAUUAUUAAGGCCUAAGUAACUCUCUUCAAACAAUAGAUUUGUUAUACCAUCCGGAAUUAUUCCUACCUUCAAUAAAAUCAACAAAUAUUGGAAGUCUCUUCUAAGGUUGUGAUACUAAAUGCAUUGUGUCUUGCCAUAUAUUUAAGGUAAAAUAUAUUAUUCUUAAAGGUCUUCAUUUCAAUUAUAUUGUCUUGAAGGUUGCAAUAAUUAUAAUAUCUCAUCUUGUAAGUUAGCAAAUAAUGGUUCUUGAAUUGAUUCUAUUAGAUGUUGAUUCUCCAUCUCUUUAGUACCACAAAUACAUAAAAACUACAAACAAGGAUAGAAGGUCAAAUGUAAUCUUUCUUAAAUUGAAAUUCUUUAAUUGUAAAGAUUUGUUAUUCUUCAUUUUAGUUUUGAUGGAUGUUAUCAAUAAAAAGUAUCAAUCUUCUUUGCUAUAUUUACAAGAUUUUUUAUUGGCUCAUAUGUGUAUUUAUUAAUAUCAUAUUUAUGCUAAUAAAUAAGAUAUUUUAACCUAUUCUUAUACUUCCUUGAGUCUAAGACUUCUUCAACUUCUUACACUUAGUUAUUAUCUACUUUUAAAAGAAGAAGUGGCAUUUUCCAUCUUUCUAGUAUAUCUAUUAUCUUAUAUGGUUUAAAAAGAGUCACAUGAAACAUAGAAUAGAUCUCUAUAGAUUUUGAUAGGUAUAAUUGAUAAGCAACAAGAUCAAUUUGUUUACAUAUAAAAAAAUGAUCUAAAUCUAUAGUAAUCCAACUUAUUAUAAGAAUACAUAGACUUGAUAUUACAACAAAAUAACCAUAGUUUGUCACUAAUAUGGAAUUGAGUUUAUUCUUUACAAUAUACAUUUGCAUUGAUCUUUUGUCAUUCUUGAGCUUCUUUUAAUUAUGCCUUUAUGGUUGCAUGUAGUUCUUAUAAAUAAUUUGCCAAAUCUUUUACUAUAGGAUUAUCAACUUUUCAAAAGUCAAAAGUAUGAAGUUAUAGAUGAUAACCAUAAUUAACAAAGAAAGCAUUUAUUAAAUAGAAGAAUGUAUUAUGUUAUUAUAAGCAAAUGUUGCCAAUGGUAAAAGCGUUGUCCAAUCAUCUUGUUAGUAGUUGAUGAUACACCUCAAAUAUUGCUUCAAAAUUUAAUUCACUUGUUCUAUUUGGCCAUAAGUUUGAGGAUUGAAAGCCAAAGAUAGUUUUAUAUCUACUUUCAAAAUCUUGAAAAAAAAUUUCAAAAUCUUAAUAAAAAUUAUAUUUUUUUAUCAAAUAUAAUAUUCUUUGGUAAUCCAUGAUAAAAAUAAAUCAAAUGAUCAAUAUUAAAGUUUAUGAAAAUAUAAGGCCAUGAUUUUUUUGAAAUAAGGGAGGUGGAUGUCAUAAUGUAAAACGGCUAAUAAAUAAAAGGAUGAAGAAAAUAUCAUAUUUUUGAAGAUCUUAUUUCAAAUAAAUUAUAACAAAUUAUCUUAGAAAAAUAGAUAAUAGUCAAGAUGUAGAGAAAUUAAAGGUGUUAAUACUACCUUUUUUCAAAAUAUGCUUCUACUCUACAAAUAGAGCAAAAUAAGAUAGAUUAGAAAAAUAAAAAAUAUAGGCACCUUUGGAAAAAAGUUAAGAAUAGUUUCUAGCAAAAAUUAUUUAGAAAAACUAGAUAUUGAUACCCGGAGAGGCUUGGUUAUGAUUUAGGAUUGAAAUUAGACCCCAAAGCAUAAAACCAAGCUCCAACAAUAAUUCUAGGGUGCUUUGGAGAGAUCAAAGGAUAGGAUCUAAGAGUUGACUUGAUAGAUUUUUUUUGAGUGUUGAUUUGGUGUGAUUUGAGUGUGUAUUGACUUUGUAAGAGCUUUGUAAAGUUAGGAUUUGUUUUGGGUGACUCUUGAUUUGUGAAAUAAAGUAGGUGAUAAUUUUUGGAGAAUUUCAUAAGUUUGGCAAUAGAUUUGCAAAUGAAAAUUUGAAGAUUUGGUGGUAUAUAUGUAUUCAAUAUAUGUUGUAAGUUUGACCUUGAUGAAAUGGUUGGAUCAAGGGUUAUUGAGGUUUAAGUGGGUCGGAAUCUCAAGAAGUAGAGUUUUAGGUCUAGUAAGGAUUUCUUAGAUUUCUUGUAAUUUAUUACUUGGAUUAAAAUAAAAAUUAUGUGUGUGGGUAAUAGACUUAUUUUUCUAUAUAUAUGAAAAAUUUGAAAUCAAUCAAAUAGUUCAAUAAGGAGAUAUUGAUGCUGGAAAUUCAACAUUCAGAUUGAAGAAGGAGACCGGCCAACAUUUGAGAAAAUAUUAGGGUUGAUCUUUUUUUUGGUGGGUUCGAUUUUCUUCAAAAAUUUUGUGCUUGUUUUCAACUUAAUUUUGAAGAGGUAUGAAAAAUUUGAGUUAAAAUCGAUGGUACAUUCAUUAGUUAUUGAGGUUUAAAUCUGCUAUAGGAAUUACUUGGGAUUACUUAGGAUUUGGUUAGGGUAUGUUUAAGAUUUGAUUAGAGUUCGGUUAAGAUUUGUUUAGAUUUGUUUAGGAUUUGGUUAGGAUUUGGUGAGGAUUCGACUAAGAUUUGGUUAGGAUUUGAGUAAGAUUUGGUUAGGUUUUGUUUAGGGUUUGUUUAAGAUUUGAUUAAGGUUUGAUAAGGAUUUGGUUAAGGUUUUUUUAGGAUUUAUUUAGGGUUUGAUAAGGGUUUGGUUAAGAUUUGUUUAGGAUUUGAUUAGGAUUUUAUUAAGAUUUUUUAGAAUUUGACUAGGAUUUAUUUAGAAUUUAGUUAGGAUUUGACUAGGAUUUAAUUAAAAUUUUUAUUUUAAUAUUUUAUUAAGAUUUCUAUUUUAGUAUAUUUUUGAAUUCUAUAUUAUUUCUUUAUGAUUUCUUUAAAGGUUCUUUAAGAAUACUUUGUAUUUCUUAUAUAUUUUCUUUGAAAUUUUGAUUGAAUUUGAUUUGAUAUUUAAUUAUAUUUGCUAAUCUUUAAUUAUAAUUUGUUUAAAAAUCUAUUAGAGUUUUUAGGAUUUGUUGUUGGAAUUUUUCUUUUAUCUUCCAUAGCCAAGUGCCUAGAGCAUUCUCAAACCAAAUGCCAUGUAUUACAAUAUCCUGUAGUAGUUUAUCGAAUAAGCUAACUAUGUGGCAUAUACAUAGAUAAUUUGCCUUGCAAAUUAAGACAUGUGGCUAGCAAAGUCAA